rnacentral:rRNA from 1 species
AACGCGAAGAACCUUACCAAGUCUUGACAUCCCAAUGACCGGAACUUAACCGUUCCUUCCCUUCGGGGCAUUGGAGACAGGUGGUGCAUGGUUGUCGUCAGCUCGUGUCGUGAGAUGUUGGGUUAAGUCCCGCAACGAGCGCAACCCUUAUCCUUAGUAGCCAGCAAGUAGUGUUGGGCACUCUGGGGAGACUGCCAGGGAUAACCUGGAGGAAGGUGGGGAUGACGUCAAAUCAUCAUGCCCCUUAUGAUUUGGGCUACACACGUGCUACAAUGGCGUAAACAAAGAGAAGCAAGACCGCGAGGUGGAGCAAAUCUCAAAAAUAACGUCUCAGUUCGGAUUGCAGGCUGCAACUCGCCUGCAUGAAGCUGGAAUCGCUAGUAAUCGCGAAUCAGAAUGUCGCGGUGAAUGCGUUCCCGGGUCUUGUACACACCG